rnacentral:pre_miRNA from 1 species
GGGUGUGAAGUGGUCACUUGAGUUGCAGUGGGGUAGUGGAACACGCUGUAUCCCAUGUGACCGCUCUACACAGU